GUCAAAAUAUUUAAAUGAUUCAAAUUAAUAAAAAAUAUUUUAAAUUAAAUAGCUAUUUAAUUUGUAAACUAAAAAUAUAUUUUUAAAUUUAUUUUCUACACAAAAGGAUUACUUUAAACUUUUCAAAAACUUUCAGGGACCCAAUUAUAAUUUAGCUACAACUUCAUCCUAUUCCUUGGGAAGAAGCCCUAGCCGCCAUACGCCUUUCUCUUCACAGCCAACGAUCAGUCAUGCCACCGGAGGGACGCGCGACACUUGCGCUUCCGCUGGUGGCCCGUCCGGCGCCAACGUGCGCGAGAUCAAUGGCAUCGCAAAGGAAGCCACGAUCUCCCGCAAUGUACAGCAGCUUCAUUCGUGACCUCGAGACAGCCGGUGUCCUACAGUUCUCGCUGCCGCUCGUCGACCCUCAGAUCGUGCAACGGUUGCGCGUCCACGGCCGACCGAAGCAGAGCUAGAGACCCCUUCGUCUUCUUCGUUGACGAGAAUGAAGAAGGAGCACGAUUUCUCCUCUCGGUUUCACAGGCGACAAGAACGACCAGUGCCACGGUUCCAGCUUGCCGCGAUAUCGAGGAGGCCCAGUCCCUCAUGCGGCCAUUCUGUGCAGCGUCCGCGCAUCGCCGGCGACCAUCGGCUGUCGUCGGUCGUCCUUGGGGCUUCAGCUGGUAUGCCGAAAUACUGGGUUCACGAUGACGGUUCAUUGUGAAUCCAAUUUGCAGAAUUUUUUUUAAAAAUUGAUUUAAUAAAAAGUUAAACUAUUUUAAUUUCUAGAUCAAAAAUAAUUUCACAACUAUAAAUUUCAUAAAUAAUAUUAGUCUACAAAAUUUAAUUUAAUUAACCUAAAAAUAAAUAUAAUUAUUUAUUUCACUUUAAUAGUUUAAAGUGGACUAUAAUAAUAUUAUUAGAUCUCAAUUGUAUUGUGCACAUAAAAAAAAUAAAAAAAUAAAAAUUUUCAUCCAUAUAAUUUAACGUAUAAAUGAAAAAAUAAUAAUUUUAAAGAGAAAAUAAAUAUUUUUUUAUUUUUUUAUCAAAAAUAUUAAUUAAAUUUUUACUAAUUAUAUACUAUUUAAGUAUUUAGUGUUUAAUGAUAUCUACAUAAAACAGCAAAAUUUUAAAAUCACUCUGAGAAGUUGAGAAGUGGAGAUGUUUGAUUUGAAAAGUGCUAAUUUUAGCCUGGUGGUUGUUUUCAUAGGUUUCAUACCAUUUUUUACUUUUCUAAUUUCUAAUUUUCAUUUAAAAAGAAAAAAUUCUGCUAAGAAAUAGAAGUUCCAUAAUAUAUCCUUUUAUGUUAAAAUAUUAGAUUUCAAUAUAAUAAUAUUUAUUUAUUUAACUAAAUAAAUAAAUUAUAUCAAUAGAUCAAAAUUUUAAUAAAUAGAACAUAUAAAUUUUAUAUAAUUUUAAUUAAACCUCCAUUUAUUUAAUUAGAUUAAAAUUAUAAUUCUUUUAUAUUAUAAUUUUAUUUUAAUAUCAAUUUAUAUUCAAUCCAAAUCCUACUUAAUUUUAACUUUUUAUUUUAUUUUUUAUUAAUAUUAUAAAAAAAAAUAGACAUUUUCUAAUUUAAUAAUAAGAUGAUGAAUUUUAUUUCAAUUGUAUAAACACCUUCAUAAAGUUUUUAUAUAAAAAUAUUUAUUAAUCAAAAAAUUAUUUACACAACCAUUAAUUCAAAAAUAUAAAUAAUUUUCUAUAUAAAUUUCUCAUGCGGAUCAAUUUAGUGUACUUAUUUAUAAAAUAAUUAUCUACAUAUUAAUUUUAGAUAUCUCACAUAUCUCAACCUAUGAGUUUAGUUGAUUACUCUAAGAGAAAAAAAUAUAUUACUUAUUUAUCCAAUCACGAUAAAAACAUCAAAAAAAAAUAUUUGGAGAUAUUAUUUAAAUGAAAUUAAAAUCUCAUAAUUAUAACUAUAUUAUAAUUUCCUUUCUACUAUAAUAAAGUCUUAUGAAAUUUAUAUUUAUUUAAAAUUUAAUUAAAUUAAUAUUAAAAAUAAAUAAUAAUUUUCAUAUAAUAUAUUUAAAUAUUUAAAAUACAUAUAAAAAAAUAAUAUUUAAUUAUAACUAACAGAUACAAACAGUAAUAUGAUAAGUUUUGGCCUAUGGACAUAUUUCUUUUUAAUCAUAAACAAUUUAUUUUAAUACAAUUAUACUAAAAUUAUUUUUUAUAAAAGAAUUAAAAAAUAAAUAUCUAAGAAAUAGAAGUUAAAUUAUAUUUUUGAUAUUAUUUAAAAUUUUAAUAUAAAUUUUCAGGCCCUUAUUAUAAUCAAAUUAGAAAAGUCUACAAAGUAUAAACAAAACCUUCUGUAAGAGAGAAAUUUUAUAGAUAAAGGCUCUUAUUAUAUUCUCCCACCAAUGAUGGCUGGUAUUUCAAUCACAAUUAUUUUACUUCAGUUAGUUUGAAAUUAAAACUUGCAGUGUUUGAAAUUAAUUCGUCUAAAUUAGAAGUUUUUCUAUUUAUUUUUAUGAUUAAAAUUGUAAAAAUAUUUUUAUUAUUUUUUUUAAAUAAAUAAAUUAUACUUGAAUAUUUGAGUUUUAGUAUAAUUAAUGUAUCCUGUGAUUUUAAAAUCAUACAUUUAAAUCUCUAUAAUCGGUUCAUCUUUAUUUAUUAUAAUUAAAACAUUUUAAUACUUAUUUUUUAAUUUAAAAAAAUAUUUAAAUCACAUUAAUUUUUAUCUAUAAUAUCUCGUUUAACUAAUUUUUAAUAUUUUUUAUUUUUUAAUUUCUAUUCAUUCAAAAUUUUCAAUUCUUAUAACUUUAAAAUUUUCAUAAAAUAUUUAUAAUUUUAAUUUUUUUUAAAUAGUAUCAAAUAACAUUUAAAUAGAUUGUAAAUUUUUAUAAAAUUUAUUUUAAAAAGAAAUUAUACUUUUUUGAUACAUUCAUUAAUUCUGAACUAAUAUUUAUAAUAGAUGAAAAAAUUAUAAUUUUAGACGGGUUAAAUAUAAAAAGAUUUAAAAAUUUAAUUUUAAAAAUAUAAUGAUUAAUCCGUCAAUUAUAUAAAAAUAUUGAGAUCAAUCUAUUAAUUAUGGUAAAGUUUAGAGAAUAAAAUAUAAUUUACCUAAAUUAUAUUUAAAGGGAGAAAUAAAAAUUGAUGAGUUUGAGAGGGUAUUUAGUUUAGCCGUUGGAGGCAGUCGGUAAUUAAUAGGUAUGAAAAUAGCUAAAUCAAAGUAUUUGGUAAAUAUUUAAUUAAUCAGCUGACAGUGAACUGAUAUAAGACUUAUCACUUACAUUUUGAAUCAGCUCUAUGAGUAGAGCUGUUCCAUAGCUGUUUUGACUUUAUCUUUUAUUUAGAUUAUUAUACCUUUUAAAUUUUAUUAGUUAUAGUAUUUUAAAUUAAUUUUUUUACAUCAUUUAAAAUUACAAAAUAUAAUAAUAAAUUAAAAAGUAUUUUUUAUUUUAUUACUAUUACGCGCUAUAUUUUUUUUAUCAAUUAAAUUUUAACUUUUUAAAUUGACUCUAAUUAUAUUAUGCCGUUAUUGAUAACGAAAUUAUUAGUUCCCGUGUCAUGUGAAUAUAUUAUACUUUUAAAUUUUAAAAUAAAAUUAAUAAUAAUUUAAAAGUUUAGAGUAAAAUGGUAAUAAAAUUAAAAGUAUAAUUUUUUUUUUAAAUUAUCUAUUUUAUUAAUAAAUUUUUUUUUGAGAGACGGAAAAUAGACACUCAAAUUUAUGAUUUUAAAUGAAUUAUAUAUUUUUUUAAUCUCUUAACUAAGUGAGACGAGAUAAUUAAAUUUUAACUUAAUUUAUAUAUUAUUAAUUUUUUUAAAAUUUACUCUAAAUAUUAGUAUAAUUGUAAAAAAUGGCAGAUAAACAUUAUGCUUGAGAAUUAAAAAAAUUAAAAAAUAUAUAUUUUAAAAAAAUUAUUUUGUUAUUUUUAAUAUUGUUAAAUUGAAUCAUAUUAAAUAUUAUUUUAAAUUAUUUUUUAAUAUUUUAUAACUAAUAUAUUUAAUAAGAUUAUUUUCUUAUGAUAAAAUAAUGCUAAAUAAUAUAUAUAUUCAACAGAUUCAAGAAAAAUUGAUUGAUAAUAAUUUUAAUCAAAAUAAAAUUAAGAUAAAUUGUCAUUAUCAAAUAAAAAUAAAAAAAAUAAAAAAUAGUAUAAAUAGUAAUUUUUAAAAAUAAAAAAAUAAAAAAUAGUAUAAAUAGUAAUUUUUAAACGCAUUGUAAUUUGAUAAUUUUGUAAGUUUUUAACUAUAUUUUUAAUUAUAAAUAUAUUUAACCAGAUACUAAAAAGAUAGAAUUUAAUUGAUAAAAAAUAAAAAAAUAUAAUAAAAUUAUAACAAAAUAAAGUAUAAAAUUUUUUAAUAAUUAAUUUUAAAUUUUAUUAACGUAACAUACUAAUGUGGCAAUUAAUUUCAUUAAUUUGUAAUGGCACAAGGCAUAAAUAACUGUAAAAUGUAUUUAGAAUAAUUUUAAAAUAUCAAGAUUUAAUUGAAAAAAAACUAUAACAGUUGAAUGUAUUUAAAGCAAUUUUAAAAGAUUAAAAUUUAAUUGAAAAAAAAUAUAGAAUAUAAUUAUAAUAAAAUAAAAAAUAAAAUUUUUUUUAGAACUAACAUUAAAUUAAAUAUAUUAUAAAUAAUAAUUAAAAUAGUUAUAUUAUUUAUUAAAAUAUGGUAAAAAAAUUAUAUAUAUCCAUAAUAAAUAAUUAUAUUUUAAAAAUUAUAUCUUUAAAUAUUUUAUGUAUAACAAAUUAAUAUUUUUAUAUUUACUAUAUUAAAAUAAUAAAUUAAUAUAUGCCUUUAUUAAUCAAUUUAUAUACUUAUACAUAAUUUAUAUAAACUACAAUCAAUUAUCAAAUAUUUCGAUUAACACAUACCAAUUAUAUUUAAAAGCUAAACCUAAAUAAGACUUUUUAACUUUCGCUUGAUAAUGACUUGUCAAAAGUAAAUUAAGAUUAGCUUUCUUUAGAUUAACCUAUUUAGAGAUCAACCCACUUCUCAUCCAUCUACAAUAUGUGACCAGAAAAUCAAAGAAAAAACACGUAUAUUUUGAAAUUUUCGAAAACUUAGUAAAAAAUAUUAUUUCCUUUCUUUUUGAAGCUUUGUUGGCCAAUGUAGACAAAUGAGCUUUUUUUUUUUCUUUUUUUUNNNNNNNNNNNNNNNNNNNNNNNNNNNNNNNNNNNNNNNNNNNNNNNNNNNNNNNNNUUUUAAAAAAAAAAAAAAUUGUAUACAGAAACUUCUAUUAGUCAUAAAAUCAUCCUACAUACAACAGUACAUAGUAAAAAUUUCUUUUAAAAUUUCAUUAGUUUUAAGGUCUCAUUUAAAAAAAUACAAAUUAAAAAUAAAAAAAAAUAAAAAAAACUAGAUUUGAGUCGUUCAAACUACCUAACAUAUGAAACUUCCAUGCAGGUGGAGGGAAAUAAUUGAUGCUCACUCCCCAAGGCGAGCAAAGAAAUUGACAUGAUCUUGAACCCAGUUCUACUCAACCUCAUGCAUUCUUCAGGGAGUGCUAGAAUUAAAGGAAGAAGACUAAUUCAAAAGAACAAAAGGAAGAAGAACAAACUAGGAAGUCAACUAUAUAAUUUAAAUGGAUGUCAAAAGUCAAACAAGAAUAUGCAACAAACAACAGUUACCCCAACUAUAAACUGUACAGAAUGACCUAUCUAUCUAAUCUUGUAUCAAUCCAGAUGGUUAGAAAAGAUGGACUACGCUACACCCCCAUUAACCAUUCUUCCAAGUUCUACCACUAAUCCAAUGCAAUUACAAAGACAUUCAGAUUAAUAUUCCUACUUAACCAUAUGGAAAUGCCUACUCUUACUUUACACUGAUAUGUGAUCAGGCUAACCACUUUCCCAAAUUUAUUACUUACUGUUUACAACAUUAAAUGGCUUUCAUCUUCUUCGUCUUCUGCCAGCUGCAACCACCUAAACAUAAUGCGUAAAAAUCUACUCAAGAACCAAAGCUUUCAGUCUUGACUGCUUAUCUUGCUUUUCUUGAUGCUGAUUUUUGUACCUUAUGCUUCCAUUUGCUCUGCAUUUGAUAAGAAAAAAAUCAAAAUAUGAGAGAUUAUUUGCAUGGAUUGAUCACAAUGCAUAAACUAAAUAUAAGGAAAAUGGUAAAUACAAGAGGCUCAUUGUCAGAUAUCUCAGCAUCUUCUGCAUUGGAAGGAGUUGAUUUGAUACGUGCUUUCUUUGAAUUUCUCUGUAUAGUCCCAUCAAUGUCUUCAUCUUGAGUCCUUUCAGAGUCUGAUUUGUCUUUAUUUUCUUCUUCUUGCAUGCCUUCACCCGAUUCAUCUUCCCCAUCUCCUGAAUGGGAGUUCUCUUCUGCAUCAUCUUUUGGUAUGCUCUCAGCAUCUGCAAAAUCUUUACCUUCAAAAUUUGAUUUUGCUUCUCCAUCAGAUUCCUCUAAUUGAUUUUUGUUGUCCAGUGAGUCCUCCAAGUGCUUUUCUCUGGAAACUGAUUUAACUUCUUUAUCAGAUUCAUCUGCAUCUGUCAAGUGCUUUGUUCCCCUUUCAUCAUGUUCCCCAAGUGAAUCACCUGGAAGAAAGUAAUGUCAUUACAACCACCAAAACACAAACAUAAUCUCCAUACAGUGCAUCUGCAUUUUUAAGUUCUACACAGAUCUAUUCUCCAUACAAUGCAUAUGCAAAUUUUAAUACGAAUGGUGUAUAAAGAGAUUUUGUAACCCAUACAAAACAAUAUGUUCUCUACCUCACUCAAUUUUGAAGCAAAAAAUGCAAAAUGACCAGAAGCUGAAAUUAAAUGAUAUAAUGCCCAAAAUAACCAAGGCAAAAUAAUCUCCAUAUCAACUCAGAGUGUUUCUAUGUAGAUCUUCUGUAAGAAACAAAACCUGCAUGAUUGAUUUACAAUUUAAAAAAAUCAUUUACACUGAGAACCAACAUUCUCAUCAUUUAUCAUUAAUUGUUAAGGUAAAAGGGCAGGUUACCUUGUUUUGCCUCUUCUCCUGCAGAUUCCUCAGUGGGUUCGCCUUGUUUUGCCUCUUCUCCUUUAGACUCCUCAAUGGGUUCAAGAUUUGAUACAUCAGAAUCAUCUUUCUCCUCAGGCUCUUUUACGCACUUUGAGUUUUUCUUAGGAGUUCUUUUUCCUUUAAUGCUAGGAGAAAAAAAAACGAUUCAAUAAAUACAUAGUGCCAUUGGAGAAAUAAAAGUAGAAGAUUUCAACAAUGAUGAGAACAUUUCUACUUACAUCUUUUCUGAUUUCGUGUUCCAAUGUACAUUACCUAAACUUCUACUUUUCUGUGCAGGUGAUCUGUAGAACAAUAAAAAGGGGGGAAAAUGGUUAGGCAAGUCCACAAGGAGGAAUUCUUUUAGAAAUAUCAUCUAUCAUACAAAAAGAAAUGCCAUAACCAAGUCAUGAUUGCCAAUGGAGAAACAUAGCUAGCAACAAAAUAUAAUUAGAAAGAUGUUUAAAUUCCUCAUUAG
rnacentral:lncRNA from 1 species